UAAUCUGCAUUUUUUUAGUCUCUCCUAACCUUUCUUCCACCCCAUCCUUCUCUUCUCUUCUCUUCAUUUUCUUUGCUUCCUCUUUCCAUUGAUUCUCUCUUCUCUAUUCCCUCUUCUAUAUGAUCUAAGGCUUCAAGUUAAUUUCUUCAAGUAAAGAUAUUUUCCCUAUUACCUUUGGCAACCAAAGACCAAGAAGAAGAAGAUGUUUGGCAACCUAUGACCAAAAUGAAGAAGAAUACGUUUGGCAACCUAAGACCAAGAAGAAGAACAAGAGGACAAUCUUUCGCAGGAGGGAAACCCAGUUGACCAUAUCAAACACCCAACAGAAAAUAGUGAGAAAAUUGUAAAGAUCUUUUCCUUAUUACCUUUGGCAACCAAAGACCAAGAAGAAGAAGACGUUUGGCAACCUAAGACCAAGAAGAAGAAGAAGAAGAGGACAAUCUUUCGCAGGAGGAAAACCCAGUUGACCAUAUCAAACACCCAACAGAAAAUAGUAAAGGCAAGGCUGUAGCUGAUGGACCGUGACCGAGCAUUUGAGAUUGUACAUGUCGGGGCGGUUAGGCCUGGAGCGUACGAUCCUCGGGACAGCAGGGCUGAGAUUUUUAUAACUGUCGUUAGACGACUUUAUUUUGAUGUAAAAGUUGAACAGUUAAAACGUUUGUAAAUAUUUUUAUAAAUCGGGAU